GUAGUAUUCCCUUCGUCCCAAAAUUCUUGUCUUACAUUUGUUUAGAUACGGAUGUAUCUAACGCUAAAAUGUAACUAGAUACAUAUGUAUUUAGACAAAUUUAAGACAAGAAUUUUGGGAUGGAGGGUGUACAAA
rnacentral:pre_miRNA from 1 species